AUUGAACGCUGGCGGCAGGCAUAACACAUGCACGUCGAGCGAGCGGCGGAAGGGUGAGGAAUGUCUGGGAAACUGCCUGAGGGAGGGGGAUGACUAAUGGAAAAGGUAGCUAAUACCGCAUACCAUCAGAUGUGCCCAGAUGGGAUUAGCUAGUGGGUGGGGUAAUGGCUCACAUAGGCGACGAUCCCUAGCUGGUCUGAGAGGAUGACCAGCCACACUGGAACUGAGACACGGUCCAGACUCCUACGGGAGGCAGCAGUGGGGAAUAUUGCACAAUGGGCGCAAGCCUGAUGCAGCCAUGCCGCGUGUGUGAAGAAGGCCUUCGGGUUGUAAAGCACUUUCAGCGAGGAGGCGUUACUCGCAGAAGAAGCACCGGCUAACUCCGUGCCAGCAGCCGCGGUAAUAC
rnacentral:rRNA from 1 species